rnacentral:rRNA from 1 species
CUUGGUGUUACUGCGAAGGGGGGACGGAGAAGGCUAUGUUGGCCGGGCGACGGUUGUCCCGGUUUAAGCGUGUAGGCUGGUUUUCCAGGCAAAUCCGGAAAAUCAAGGCUGAGGCGUGAUGACGAGGCACUACGGUGCUGAAGCAACAAAUGCCCUGCUUCCAGGAAAAGCCUCUAAGCAUCAGGUAACAUCAAAUCGUACCCCAAACCGACACAGGUGGUCAGGUAGAGAAUACCAAGGCGCUUGAGAGAACUCGGGUGAAGGAACUAGGCAAAAUGGUGCCGUAACUUCGGGAGAAGGCACGCUGAUAUGUAGGUGAAGUCCCUUGCGGAUGGAGCUGAAAUCAGUCGAAGAUACCAGCUGGCUGCAACUGUUUAUUAAAAACACAGCACUGUGCAAACACGAAAGUGGACGUAUACGGUGUGACGCCUGCCCGGUGCCGGAAGGUUAAUUGAUGGGGUCAGCGCAAGCGAAGCUCUUGAUCGAAGCCCCGGUAAACGGCGGCCGUAACUAUAACGGUCCUAAGGUAGCGAAAUUCCUUGUCGGGUAAGUUCCGACCUGCACGAAUGGCGUAAUGAUGGCCAGGCUGUCUCCACCCGAGACUCAGUGAAAUUGAACUCGCUGUGAAGAUGCAGUGUACCCGCGGCAAGACGGAAAGACCCCGUGAACCUUUACUAUAGCUUGACACUGAACAUUGAGCCUUGAUGUGUAGGAUAGGUGGGAGGCUUUGAAGUGUGGACGCCAGUCUGCAUGGAGCCGGCCUUGAAAUACCACCCUUUAAUGUUUGAUGUUCUAACGUGGACCCGUGAUCCGGGUUGCGGACAGUGUCUGGUGGGUAGUUUGACUGGGGCGGUCUCCUCCUAAAGAGUAACGGAGGAGCACGAAGGUUGGCUAAUCCUGGUCGGACAUCAGGAGGUUAGUGCAAUGGCAUAAGCCAGCUUGACUGCGAGCGUGACGGCGCGAGCAGGUGCGAAAGCAGGUCAUAGUGAUCCGGUGGUUCUGAAUGGAAGGGCCAUCGCUCAACGGAUAAAAGGUACUCCGGGGAUAACAGGCUGAUACCGCCCAAGAGUUCAUAUCGACGGCGGUGUUUGGCACCUCGAUGUCGGCUCAUCACAUCCUGGGGCUGAAGUAGGUCCCAAGGGUAUGGCUGUUCGCCAUUUAAAGUGGUACGCGAGCUGGGUUUAGAACGUCGUGAGACAGUUCGGUCCCUAUCUGCCGUGGGCGCUGGAGAACUGAGGGGGGCUGCUCCUAGUACGAGAGGACCGGAGUGGACGCAUCACUGGUGUUCGGGUUGUCAUGCCAAUGGCACUGCCCGGUAGCUAAAUGCGGAAGAGAUAAGUGCUGAAAGCAUCUAAGCACGAAACUUGCCCCGAGAUGAGUUCUCCCUGACCCUUUAAGGGUCCUGAAGGAACGUUGAAGACGACGACGUUGAUAGGCCGGGUGUGUAAGCGCAGCGAUGCGUUGAGCUAACCGGUACUAAUGAACCGUGAGGCUUAACCUUACAACGCCGAAG